CGGCGAGUGAAGCGGCAACAGCUCAAAUUUGAAAGCUGGCCCCUUGGGGGUCCGCGUUGUAAUUUGUAGAGGAUGAUUCGGCGAGGGCUCCCGUCUAAGUCCCCUGGAACAGGGCGUCAUAGAGGGUGAGAAUCCCGUAUGUGAUGGGCUGCCUUAGCCAUGUGAAUCUCCUUCGACGAGUCGAGUUGUUUGGGAAUGCAGCUCUAAAUGGGAGGUAAAUUUCUUCUAAAGCUAAAUACCGGCCAGAGACCGAUAGCGCACAAGUAGAGUGAUCGAAAGAUGAAAAGCACUUUGGAAAGAGAGUUAAAAAGUACGUGAAAUUGUUGAAAGGGAAGCGCUUGCAGCCAGACUUGUCCGCAGUUGCUCAGCCGGUCUCCUGACCGGCGUACUCUUCUGCGGCCAGGCCAGCAUCAGUUCGGGCGGUCGGAUAAAGACCYGGGGAAUGUAGCUCCUCUCGGGGAGUGUUAUAGCCCGGGGUGCAAUGCGGCCAGCCUGGACUGAGGAUCUCGCUUCGGCUAGGAUGCUGGCGUAAUGGCUGUAAGCGGCCCGUCUUGAAACACGGACCAAGGAGUCUAACAUCUAUGCGAGUGUUUGGGUGUCAAACCCAUGCGCGUAAUGAAAGUGAACGGAGGUGGGAACCCUCACGGGUGCACCAUCGACCGAUCCUGAUGUCUUCGGAUGGAUUUGAGUAAGAGCAUAGCUGUUGGGACCCGAAAGAUGGUGAACUAUGCCUGAAUAGGGUGAAGCCAGAGGAAACUCUGGUGGAGGCUCGCAGCGGUUCUGACGUGCAAAUCGAUCGUCAAAUUUGGGUAUAGGGGCGAAAGACUAAUCGAACCAUC
rnacentral:rRNA from 1 species